AUUGAACGCUGGCGGCAUGCCUUACACAUGCAAGCCGAACGGCAGCACGGGAGCAAUCCUGGUGGCGAGUGGCGAACGGGUGAGUAAUAUAUCGGAACGUGCCCAGUCGUGGGGAUAACGUAGCGAAAGCUACGCUAAUACCGCAUACGAUCUAUGGAUGAAAGCGGGGGAUCGCAAGACCUCGCGCGAUUGGAGCGGCCGAUAUCAGAUUAGGUAGUUGGUGAGGUAAAGGCUCACCAAGCCGACGAUCUGUAGCUGGUCUGAGAGGACGACCAGCCACACUGGGACUGAGACACGGCCCAGACUCCUACGGGAGGCAGCAGUGGGGAAUUUUUGGGACAAUGGGCGCAAGCCUGAUCCAGCAAUGC
rnacentral:rRNA from 1 species